rnacentral:rRNA from 1 species
AUUGAACGCUGGCGGCAUGCCUUACACAUGCAAGUCGAACGGUAACAGGUCUUCGGAUGCUGACGAGUGGCGAACGGGUGAGUAAUACAUCGGAACGUGCCUAGUAGUGGGGGAUAACUACUCGAAAGAGUGGCUAAUACCGCAUGAGAUCUACGGAUGAAAGCAGGGGAUCGCAAGACCUUGUGCUACUAGAGCGGCCGAUGGCAGAUUAGGUAGUUGGUGGGAUAAAAGCUUACCAAGCCGACGAUCUGUAGCUGGUCUGAGAGGACGAUCAGCAAAACUGGGACUGAGAGACGGACGAGAGUCCGACGGGAGGCAGCAGUGGGGAAGUUUGGAGAAUGGGCGCAAGCGUGAUCCAGCAAUGCCGCGGGCAGGAUGAAGGCCUUCGGGUUGUAAACUGCUUUUGUACGGAACGAAAAGCCCCGGGUUAAUACCCUGGGGUCAUGACGGUACCGUAAGAAUAAGCACCGGCUAACUACGUGCCAGCCGCCGCCGUAA